ensembl:lncRNA
CAGGAAACAUAUUGCUUGCUUUCACUAUCAAUGACCUAGAGGGAAGAAUAUGCAAGAGAGGAAAUUUGCGGUGAUAAAAUGAGGCUGGAACUGGGAAGCACGUCUAAACAAUGAAAGUGCUUGACAAAAAAAGUGGCUACUAACUUCAAAGAUGAAAUGCACAGCCUAUACAAGAGGGGGCAAUACUUAUUUAACUGGAACAAAAUAUAAAUAGAGAGGGUUGGUCCAUCCACACAAUCAGAAAGCAGAAUAUGAAGUUUUAACCAGAGUUACAAAGCUGACAUUUACAGAAGUGAGUGUCUUUCAACCUACCAGGACUCUCAGCAAAUUCUGUGCUUUCUCCUGUGUUUUCUGUAUCUUUAGGAGGAGCUGACCCUGAAGAGUUAAAAGGGAAGGAAAAGCAAGCAGGUUCUUACUAAGUACCUUUUUGCUGCCUCCCUCCCCUCCCCCCCCCCCCCCCCCCCACACACACACACACAUGUGCAGUUUCAAACUUCUCUCUGGCAAAAAACUUCCUUUAUUAAAAAAAAUACAUCAAAAAUCCUGAUAGUCUCAUAUGAUAACAAGAUUUCUACAGCUAGAACUUAAAGAACAUUACUAUGCAUCUGAAAGAUUGAUAAGAUCAUAAGAUUUAGCAACACUGAGACAUAUGUAGGCUCUGUCUUCAUCCUCAUGCUCAAAAUGUACCUCUCUGAAACACCUAGAGCUAAUGUGGCUAACACACCAGGCUGGCUGCUUAUCCUCCUGCACUAGAUAUUUCCAUUUCUUCUGCUCUCCCUUCCUAUCCACACAUCAAAAGCAAAAACUUUGCAUCUGCCUACGUCACCAGUUGUUCAACAAAGGGGUAAGGGUCAGGGCAGAAUUUGCUGUGAUCUGUUAUCUGUUGAUCUGUUAUAGCUCAAGGACCUUAUAACCACAUGACAUCAUUUCUCAUGAUGAAGUUCAAGCCACUUUCCAGUCCUAGGCAUGCAGUACACAUCUAAUGAGCUAACUUCUGCAGGACUGUCCAUCUGCACUGUAAGUGGGUCACCCAGAAAUGUAAAUCAGCAUAUGACUUCAGCCUCGGAUUUAUGGGUGGGAAACAGCUUUGAGUGCAUACUGCAAGCCUUCAAGUACGAGAGCCCCCAGCACAGUGACAUUUCUAAUGCUGGAGUUAGGCUUAUUCUUAUAUUAGAAUCCUUGUAUUUCUAUUUUGCAUGCCAUCACUUACUUAUGGAGUCAAUUUCACUGAAAAACAUACAGAACUUCAGACAGAGCACGCUCCAAUCCAGCAUUAUCAGUUAUCAGGGCAAAACAAAGUUCAGUAGAAUAUACAUAUCAAAAUUCAGAGAAUCUGAGUCUUCCUAUGUAGCAAAGGUAUUUGUCCCAUAAAAUAAACAUUUUUAGUAGAAAAUACUAUAUUCAACUGAAGAAGAUGCCUGGACUUCUGUGUUACCAUAUGUCACGUAUGUAGGUUGUUCUGACAGCAGUGCAUCCAUCCUACUUAGCUUGAAGGAGGCUACCAGAAAUAAAAGAGCACAAUAAGGAUAUUUGCUAGAGCACAUCCUCAGCUACAAAACACUAUUUCUCAACAGUCAUCACCAUUAGGUCUGAAUUUUUGCCAGUGAUGAACAAGAGCCUGCAUGCCACCAUCAUACACAUCUGCCCCGGCAGAGGUGGCUUGUUAUCGCUGAUGCCACUGCUGAAUUGCACCACUCGCUGCCUCACUGUGCUCAUAUCCACUAGGUGGUCUUCGUCAGUGUUCAGCAAGCAUCUGAUGAGAUCAGUGUAUGCCACUUUUUCAGCAUAGAGAAAUUCAGUGACACACCUUUGCUUCAUCCACAUUUCCAUGACAGACGCCAUUCUGUCAGACUGCCCCUCCACUACCAUUUGUCACAUGGCAAUACUAUGGAAUAGAAUAUCGGUGGGAAGGUUCAACUUCUGCUGCCAUACCACCAGCACCCUCUGAUAUAAUGAGUCAAUGUAAUAAAACAGGAGGCAUAACUUUUGGAGCAGCUCUCAUAGUUAUUAAUUAGACACUUUAUAAGACCUAUACUCUCCAAUUCAUUUAAGGAACUUCACGUGAAAUACGGACCUCACCAUCCAAAAUACAUAACCCACUGGACUAGGUUAUCUGAACCCGUAGCAUGUAUCAGUUUGACUCUAUACUCAGAAUUCAGAACAGAAACUUAACGUGAAGUGGAAUCAAAUUAUCCCAUACCCCAAACUCAAUGCUCUCUGAACAGCUUUAUUGAGUUGCAUUUAACCAUGUUUCGAUGCUGUUCUGAACUGUGGCCCUUGCUGUUAAGUCUUGUUUAAGACAAUUCAGAUUUAGCAGAAAGAAAUGCUUACUCUCAAGAACUCUCUUGCUAAGGGAUUGCCUCGUUACUAUUUAAGAUACUGGCUCCAAAUUUAUUUCCUUACACCAAAAGAAAAUAAACAAAAGCUCAACAUCACCAUUUGCCAUGGAUGUAGUUUCAUUUGUCCUAAGGUACCAUCAUUUUUCCUUGUUGAAAUGGUUGCCUCUACGUAUGCAUCUCAGCAUGCUAAUACAAAAUAAAUUUGAGGUUGAGGCUGAUUAAAACUGAAAGUAAGCCUUAAUCUGACAUGUUAUUUUGAUUGGGCUUUCAAAGUUCACAUAGUUCCCAUUCUAAUUUAUGUUAUGCAUGGUAUACAUCUUCUUGGUUGAACAAUUACAUUAUUCUAAACAAUUAUAUUGCUAUGAUACACAUAAUGCAUGGCUCUUGAGCAUAAAGUUCUUUAAUGAUGGCAGAUUGUAAAGUGGUACAGUUCACUUUUAAAAGGUCAUGCAUCUUUUUUCAGUAGAUUAACAUUUUAUCUUUUAAUGGUGUUAAGAAAAGGUCAAAGAUUCUAACAGAUGGAAUAUGGAAAGCUUAUAUUGAAGAAGAUCAAUGUGUUAAGCAUCAAUCUAAGUCCAGAAACACAGCCAUUUAAUGACUGUUGUUCUUGUUUUAUUUUAAAUUACCAGUGUCUUGGUUGUUUAAAUGCUAAAAUUACAUUUUCAUAUUUUUUUAAAAAAGGACCAUCACCAUCUGACACGUAUCUGUGUUUGUGUUGUAUUUUCAAAAAUACGUCUCAAAAUAAGAGAAGUUAUUUAAAUAAUUAGCUUCCCCUUAGGCUAAUGGCCUGUCACUCUGACAUCCAAACGAAUGCAGCAGAACAAACCCCAACAGCACCAUGGAAGAUAAUUCUGUACUGGUUUAACUGAGCACGUCUGCAGUAAUUGGAGGGGAUAUACGCUUUCAGUGAAGUCUCUUUCCUGGUGUAACAUGCUGUUGAACAGAGAACUUUUAAUACUGCUAUAAUACAAGCUUAUGAUUAUAUUGUUCAAGAAGGAAAUAUUUAGGUACUAGGUUUUUGCAAUAGUAUUUUAUUAUCAUUUUUAGACCUAGCUUCUGUAAGAGAAUAAAGCUUAAGCAUUUUAGCUCUCCCAAUAACUUCAAACCUCAAGGGAAGAAAGUGUUAAGUGUUUGCAGGAGACUGUAAGCUAUUCUGAGCAGCUACAUGCCUCUGUCUGCUUUUACAAAAUAACUCUUACAACAGAGUAACAUGAUUGGUUUUCUGUGUGGUAAAGUAAAUACCAAUACAAAAAACAACAGUAAGGGGUCAAGCUGCUUUGUAAGAAGUUACCAGAGAGCUUCUAAAGAUCGUUGAGUUUAUGUCCCCACAGUAUGUGUGCGCAUUUUUCAAGUUUCCUGUAUUCCGAGUUCCUUUUAUCCCCCCAAGCCACUCCUGCUCCUAAGAAAAGGGCUCCAAGGAGAAGGCAACAUCCCAGAAGCAUGAGGGUUCUUCAGGGUCUUUGGAGGUAAAUGCUACUAAGCAAUAGAAAGUGAAUUUGCAGUCCAGUAUCCACCUUGACUUGUGCAUUGAAGCAUCGUAGGAGCAAAUAAAGUCUACAGAUAUGGUAUCUUUGAUUACUACACAUGAGAACAAAAUGGUGAGCACUGGGAGUCACCUGUACCUUGCUGGCAGCAUUCUUCCUUCUAAUGGAAAUGCACAGCAGUAUUUUGGCAAUCUAGUGAGCAAGCUAGAUGAGACUUGGAGUUUACAAAGACAUCUGUGCAUUCAAAAAAAUCAAAUAAUAUCAACUGGACACAUUUAAGCACAAUCCAUCCAUCCAAAUCAUUAGAAUAUUUAUUGCUCAGAAUACAAUACUAAAGGGUUAUUCAAAGGGAAAGUUUAAAGAAUUAUAUUUAGUAGUUUAAGGUUAAUGCUAGAGAUAAAUUUGGAAACUUUCUAUUUUCAGACAGAAGGGAAAGCCUUCACUCCUUGCUUUUUGUUACAUCUCAUAAUACAGAGAGUUAAUCAUCUUCUAAGUGCUAGGACCUAGGAGAUAAGUUAUCUUUGACCAGGAUAUAAGCUCCAUACUGUUACCUCCUAUUUAUCAUUUUCAUACUCAGUAGGUUGGACAGAGGUCCUACCUCCUCCAGUGUGAGGAAAUCACAUCAUUUCUAGAACUGACAGGACAAACUGAAGUUUCUUCCUCAAAAGAAACUGCAUUCAAAAUCGACGUGUAAACUAUGAUUACAAGGUUUCGCUUUCAUUUAUAAAUAUUUGUUUUAGAAUUAAACUGCAUACACCAAACAGUUCCUGCAGCUUCACGGCUAGGUAAGAUCACACUGCCCUAAAGGAAAGCACAGUCUUAGUGGGCAGGUGAAGAACAGGUUUGCAGCAUACCCCACCCAAGGCCAACACAAGCUAACUUUUUGGACCACUCUAGGCAGACAACUGCAAAGCUGUUAACUGCUCCUAGCUUCCUCAGUGCUAAGGAAGUUCCAGGGGCUGAUGCUUACCUCCUGUACCACCAGCACAGCUUGUUGACAGCCACCAUUUCUUGGGUAGGAUGGCCUCUGGGAGUUGGGUAACCAAGAGUGCUAUUUAAUGGAGAACUACUUACCGUUACUGCUGCAGAGACACAUGGUAAGGUACUGGACUAAUUAAGCGGGCUGCCAUAUUCCUCAGUUACACUGGAUUCAAAAUAUAGCCUCACAAAUAGCUUUGCAAAGGGGACAUUUUUUUGCAUUGCAAAAAAUGACAAGCAACCAGCAGACACUGCUGCCUAUCUGAACAUCUGGUAACAAUUAGGAAUUUAAGAGGAUGGCUAAAUAUUCUCUUUUAAGCAGCUGAACUAUUCAAGCAAAUCUUCUUGCUUCUUUACUUGCCCUAACCACUGCAUUUUUCCAAAGCAACAUAAGCCCAAGUCAUUCUCAUGCAAAGUCCGGAGUCACCUUGAAACUGAGGGAAAGAAACAACUUCCCUCUCUGGGUUAGACAAGCAAAAGCAAUAAAGCUGGAUGCUGUGAACGUGCUAAAACCAACACUGAGACUGUCAUUCCUUGUGAACUCCCCUCACAGUUUCACACACAGACCGUAUAAGGCAGCCAAGCAAGAAGCCCUCAGUGGCUCCGGGGAUGGCUCGGUGGGACAGGAACCACAUGCCAGCAGUUUGCAGCACCAGGGCAUCUCCAGAAGCAUGAUAGCUACACAGGUCUACAAAACCAGAAUGCCAUAAAAUACUCUUAAUAAUCCUCCUCACACAGCCAUGAAGUCUGUAAGCAGCUACAGGUAAAAGAGCUGGAGAGAGCAGAAGCAGUAAAUAGUUGUUUUUGUCACUUGAGUCAGCACAUAUAAUUCUUCACACACACAGGAACUAUCUUCGCCGUGGAAGAAAAUACCAUUUGCACAAUAACUUUUCACAGUGGAACUGUGCCUUGAAUCAAACAAGCAAGUACUGAGUCACCUCUGCAGCACAGCAACAACAAUUUGAUCUGCUACGUGGCAAGCUUUGGUUUGAAGAUACUAAACAAUUCCUCAUCCCAGGCCUGGGGCUUGUAAGUAUGAUAGAAGAUGAUGCAAUGCAUCCAGGCUCUGGGGAGUAAAGGAACAGUCAUGCUACUCCUGAGAAACCCUUUGUGCACAAAAAUUUAUUGUGCGCCUCCAGGUACAAAGGCUACGGAUGAAAUGCAACUCAAUAAAGACAAGCCAAGGUGUAUCAGGAGAGCUAAUGAACACUUCAGUAUUUGCACUUAGUCAGAUAAAGGAGCGUGUUGCAGUUGAGAAAGGAGAGAGUAAUCACAUGAGUAUCAUUUCUGUGGUAACAAAUGCUCUCACAGUUUUUGAGCCUCGUGCUUUGUUUUUGUAUGGUGCAAAGAUAAUCCCACUAAGGAAAUCUAAUCAGUUCUCCCACCUUUACAUUUUCCUUGUUUACUUCUUUUAUUUUGAUUUUUUAGAGGAGUUGCAUUUAGUCUGAUGGUCACCUGUCUUUUAAACAGCUCUAUUUUCCAUGUGUACAGCCCUUAGUCAUGCAGACCCUUUGAGUCCCACUCUAGAAAAUGGUAAGAAAGUCCACUGAGAUGCACAGUGAUUUUAUAAUUUAUGUGUUCUGCUUGAUUUCCAUGCUCCAGUGCAGCUGAUGAGACAUACGAAAGACACAGCUAAAAUCUUACUGCCCACAGACAGAAUAUCAACAUGAGCACCAGGAGUUCAUAACACCUAUGGAAAGCAGCGCUGCAUACGUGCAAAAAGAUAUGAGAGAAUAAUUUCAAGAAAUGCCCUUACAGCACCCAGUCAGCUUCCAAAAGGAUUAUUCAUUAUAAAACAUUCUGGCUUGAUAAUGAAUUCUGAUAGAGGACAUGAUGUUAAUUCAGCUAUUCCUUCUUGGUUCUCCUCUUGGAUUUAAAUAUAUAUUUAUAUAUUUAUAUAUAUUUUAGCCUCUGAAUACUUCUAUGAUCUGAUUUCUUACACCCUGCAGGGGACAGCAUUGGGUAAAGAAAAGUAGAAAUCAUUUGAUAAAAAAGCAUUUGCUUUCAAUUAUCAGAUUGUACUUUCUUAAUUGAGACACAAAAAGUAUUCUCCUUUUAGGUUGAUGCAAAUCCUCUCUCUCUCUCCACCCUUAAACUGCUCUGAAUUAUUAAUCAUAAUUUCUUCAGCUACAGAGUUCGUUCAAUCAAUAGUGAGAAAGAUUCCCAACCAUUUGCAGCCACCAGUGUUAAAGAAGGCAACAGAAACGCUGUACAGAACUGCUGUAACUUAGGACUUCCUUCCUAGGCAGACCAUGUAAUGCUGUUUUUCAGCAGCAACGGCGAAUCCUCUGCGAUAACAGAGGUGUCAGCAUGCAGGUGAAAAAUACUGUUUUUCUACUCUCUCAUUAAAAUACGUAUGUGUACGGGCACACACAAAUUGGGACUGUAAACAUGCGUGUAAAUGCAAGCCAAAGUGUUUGCCUUUUAUUUUUCUUAGCCACUGUCACAAAAUCAAGGUGCUUUCUCCUCCUGCAAAUAAGGGCUGUGUUUAGAAGCGAUACUGCAAAAGGUAUAUGGUAGCCUUGUUUGUUUUGGACAGAUGCAAAGAAGAAUCUCUGAACUUCUGCCAGUGAUCAAAGGAACUGAUGAUGUAGAACAGAUUCAUGGGCCAUGUCCUAUCAGCCUGCACUUUACCCAUCAUCCAUCAUCCAAACCCUAAGCCUUUUUCUGAGUGAUGAUUGCACCCUAAACACAUAAAA